CUUGGAUUUGUGUCUUACAUCUGACUCCCGCCGCGGCGCCCCAGCGGCCAGCGCUCCGGGGACUCAGCCCUCACUUGACUGGUGUCUGGCAGAGACCGCGGGGACAGGGCGGGCAGAGCGAGGAGCGCUAUAAACUUUGGGGGCGGGGACGUUUUCUCGGAGGUGACAAGUAGCCUCCAGGGACCGGGGGUCGGUCCAAGUCCUCUGCUCGGAUACUCUACGGGUCUGGACCCUGCCACAUGACCAACACCUGAGACCCCAAAAGAGCCAUGGAAUCCACGCUGGCGACAUCCAGUGCUGCCACAGGCCCUGUCACCUUCUCCCACGUCUUUGGUCAGCAGUGCCAGCUCAUGGAAGCAGGGACCUGGGAUAAUCUUGUUGUUAAGACGUGUGUGAGUGGCACAGAACAGGACCUGGCAAGAGCACGCCGAGCUCCUGGUGUUGGUCACUAA
rnacentral:lncRNA from 1 species